rnacentral:miRNA from 1 species
CUUCAAAGCUUGGGAAGCUACUUACUUCAUAGAUUUUCGAAGAAGGGUCAAACUUUGCUGCUUGAGAGAUGUGGGCCUUGUGUUCCAGAGAAGGCAGGAACUGCAGAAGGGGAA